ACCUGGGUGGCUUAGUCGGUUAAGCCUCUGACUUUGGCUCAGGUCAUGCUCUCACAGGUUGUGGGUUUGAGCCCCGCAUCAGGCU
rnacentral:tRNA from 1 species